AUUGAACGCUGGCGGCAGGCCUAACACAUGCAAGUCGGGCGGAGCGGCGGACGGGUGAGUAAUGCCUAGGAAUCUGCCUGGUAGUGGGGGAUAACGUCCGGAAACGGGCGCUAAUACCGCAUACUAUCAGAUGAGCCUAGGUCGGAUUAGCUAGUGGGGGGGGUAAAGGCCUACCAAGGCGACGAUCCGUAACUGGUCUGAGAGGAUGACCAGUCACACUGGGACUGAGAAACGGCCCAGACUCCUACGGGAGGCAGCAGUGGGGAAUAUUGCACAAUGGGCGCAAGCCUGAUGCAGCCAUGCCGCGUGUAUGAAGAAGGCCUUCGGGUUGUAAAGUACUUUCAGUCGGGAGGCGUUACCGACAGAAGAAGCACCGGCUAACUCCGUGCCAGCAGCCGCGGUAAUAC
rnacentral:rRNA from 1 species